rnacentral:rRNA from 1 species
CCCCUAGAGUUUGAUCCUGGCUCAGGACGAACGCUGGCGGCGUGCUUAACACAUGCAAGUCGAACGCUGAAGCUUGGUGCUUGCACUGGGUGGAUGAGUGGCGAACGGGUGAGUAAUACGUGAGUAACCUGCCCUUGACUCUGGGAUAAGCCUGGGAAACUGGGUCUAAUACUGGAUACGACAUGUCACCGCAUGGUGGUGUGUGGAAAGGGUUUUACUGGUUUUGGAUGGGCUCACGGCCUAUCAGCUUGUUGGUGGGGUAAUGGCUCACCAAGGCGACGACGGGUAGCCGGCCUGAGAGGGUGACCGGCCACACUGGGACUGAGACACGGCCCAGACUCCUACGGGAGGCAGCAGUGGGGAAUAUUGCACAAUGGGCGAAAGCCUGAUGCAGCGACGCCGCGUGAGGGAUGACGGCCUUCGGGUUGUAAACCUCUUUCAGCACGGAAGAAGCGAAAGUGACGGUACGUGCAGAAGAAGCGCCGGCUAACUACGUGCCAGCAGCCGCGGUAAUACGUAGGGCGCAAGCGUUGUCCGGAAUUAUUGGGCGUAAAGAGCUCGUAGGCGGUUUGUCGCGUCUGCUGUGAAAGCCCGGGGCUUAACCCCGGGUGUGCAGUGGGUACGGGCAGACUUGAGUGCAGUAGGGGAGACUGGAAUUCCUGGUGUAGCGGUGAAAUGCGCAGAUAUCAGGAGGAACACCGAUGGCGAAGGCAGGUCUCUGGGCUGUUACUGACGCUGAGGAGCGAAAGCAUGGGGAGCGAACAGGAUUAGAUANNCUGNUAGUCCAUGCC